rnacentral:rRNA from 1 species
AUGGCUCGCUCGCCUGCCAACUUCGUCUUGCUCCUUAUGGCAGCGGCAACCUGGAGCUUCUUCCUCGCCGCCUACGCAGGCAGGCUCCAGCCGAGCUGCAUAGGGCGCGAGAGGGACGCGUUGCUGGCCUUCAAUCAAGGCAUCAGCGAUGACCCCUACGACUAUCUCGAGUCGUGGCGACAAGAGCGCCAAGAUUGUUGCCAAUGGGCAGGCGUCACCUGCGACAACGCAACCGGUCAUGUCGUCAAGCUCGACCUUGGUGGGACAUAUUUGGUCGGCCAGAUAAGUCCAUCCUUGCUAUCUCUAGAGCAUCUCGAGUACCUCAAUCUCAACUGGACGCGACUGUGUGGGCCUGACGGUCGUGUUCCAGAGUUCUUGGGUUCCUUAAAGAACUUGAGGCAUCUUGAUCUAUCCGGCAUGUCAUUCUCUGCUCUCUUGCCUCCUAAGCUUGGCAACCUGUCAAAGCUGGAAUACCUUGACCUAUCCAACAUACUACAUUUCAAUAAACGGAUUGUCUUAACAGACAUCUCAUGGUUAACCCGUCUACCUCUGUUGGUGCAUCUUGAUAUGAGUUGGGUCAAUCUCAGCUCAAUUGCGGAUUGGCCUCUUGUUAUGAAUAAGAUUCCAUCUUUGGAGUUGCUUGAUCUUUCUGCAUGCUCGCUUUCAAGUGCAAACCAAUCCCUCACACACCUAGACCUAACAACUCUUCACUUCCUUGAUCUCUCCUACAACUUCUUUGGUCAUCCAAUCGCCUCCGGUUGGUUUUGGAACGUAACAAGUAUCAAAUACCUUGACCUUACUGGUACCUCUAUGUGUGGGCCAUUUCCUGACUCACUCGCAAAUAUGACAUCCCUCCAACAGUUAGCAUUGAGCUACAUGGGUAACGAAGCCACAAUGACAGUAGACUUGAAAAAUCUCUGUGAUUUGGAAGACCUAUCGCUUGACGGAAGCCUCUCAUCUGGAAACAUAACAGAGUUUCUAGAUAAAUUGCCAAGAUGUUCGUCCAAUAGAUUGCAGUACUUGAGCUUGAGAAGCAACAAUAUGGUUGGAAUUCUGCCAAACAGAAUGGGGCACUUAACCAACUUAUCAUUGUUCGACCUUUCUUACAAUAACAUUACUGGAGCUAUACCGCUAGGCAUCAGGAAUCUGUCUUCUUUAGAAAGCCUUCUUCUUCCCAGCAACCUUCUUACUGGAGCUAUACCGCUAGGCGUCGGGAAUCUCCCUUGUUUAGAAAGCCUUCAUAUUUCUAACAACCUUCUUACUGGAGCUAUACCGCUAGGGUUGAGAAAUUGCAUUGAGGUUGAUCUUUCCAAUAACAAACUUAGUGGGCCUAUACAACUAGGGAUAGAGACUUGCACUAGAUUACUGUACCUUGACCUUUCUUACAAUAGCAUUACUGGACCUAUACCACCAAUAUUAGAGAACUGCACCAAAUUAUAUCACCUUACUCUUUCUAACAACCUUCUUACCGGAGAUAUACCACCAGGGUUUGGGAAUUACACUAGUUUGCAGUAUCUUUCUCUUUCGAGCAACCAUCUUACUGGACCUAUACAGCUAGAGACAGUGAGUUGUACUACAUUAGAAGUCCUCAACCUUUCUGACAACAAUAUUACUGGAGUUAUACCGCCAUGGUUGGGGAAUUGCACUAGUUUGAGGCACCUUUCUCUUUCUAAGAACCAUCUCACCGGGCAUGUCCCAUCUAAGAUCGGUUUGCUCGGCAAUUUGACUCAACUCGACCUUAGCAAUAAUAAUUUAGAUGGUGUGAUCACGGAGGAACACUUGGUUUCUCUAAAGAACUUAGAGCACCUGGAUCUAUCACUGUCGUGGAAUUGUCACGGCAGAUGUCCUCGAGCUAGGACUUAG